CAGUACGUGAAACCGUUUAGGGGUAAACCUGAGAAACCCGAAAGAUCGAAUAAGGAGAUUCAACGUUAGCGAGAUUUGCUGACUCGUAGUUUGCGAUGAUUAAGGCUUGUACUUUUAGUGCUAGUCGAAGUCACGCGGCUUCGAGUUACGCGGAUUACGUUGGCGUGCACUUCUCCUUUAGUAGGACGUCGCGACCCGCUGAGAGUCGAUCUAAGGACCGAGAUCGUCGACUGUUUCGUUGAAUUUAUUCAACGUAGCAGACGCUCGGUAUCCCGACCGUCUACUCGGCGGUAAAGAAAAGAUAUUGAGCCGCAAUCGAAUGCGUUCAGACUCGUAGCAAGCUUGAUAAUUUUAUUCAGAGUGCGGACCUGGUCCGUCCUGGUGAAUUGUCGGCUGUUGGCUAACGAUGUUCUCGAACCGGCUAAUAAUUAUAAAAAUAUCUGUCAGCGACGCUAUUGCUUUGGGUACUUUCAGGACCCGUCUUGAAACACGGACCAAGGAGUCUAACAUGUACGCGAGUCAUUGGGACGAUGAAACUCAAAGGCGUAUUGAAAGAAAAGAUCGACUUUAUGUCGAAUGAGGGAAGAUGGGCCGUUGUACGCAGCGGCCUCGCAUUCCCGGGGCGUUUCAUUGUCAUUGCGACAAGAGGCGCACCCAGAGCGUACACGUUGGGACCCGAAAGAUGGUGAACUAUGCCUGGUCAGGAUGAAGUCAGGGGAAACUCUGAUGGAGGUCCGUAGCGAUUCUGACGUGCAAAUCGAUCGUCGGAACUGGGUAUAGGGGCGAAAGACUAAUC
rnacentral:rRNA from 1 species